rnacentral:lncRNA from 1 species
GUAUUUUGAAUAUGCAGAAUUGUAUUAAAUCUGUAGGCAUGAUUUCUAUCCUUUUGCAUGCAUAGUCACCCACCCUUUUCACUAACCGUCCCCAAAUGUUCAUUACAACUUAUUACAAACCAAAAUAAAAAAUUACAUCAAAAGUAUAAAGAAAAUACAACCAAAGGAAGCCUGAUUCUGACUUCCCGCCUGAAUUAUGAGAUAGACCAAUCCAAGAUCACUGAUCCAAAACCUUUCUCCAAUUUAAGUGUGUCAGAGUUCCAUAAGAGCCUCUAUGAGACUCCAGGCACUGCUCACACCCAAAUAGUAUCACCAGAAUAGGGACAAGUGUAGUGUAGAAGAGCCAACCCCCAAGUGUCCAAGUCCAGAAGGAGCUUAAUGGGUCCCAAAGCAAGGCUCACAAGAGGGGCAGAACUUAAGGUCUAAGAGAGAGUGCAAGUGAAGAAACAAAAUUUUAAAGAACUAAGAAAGUAAAGAAAAGGGGGAGAAGUGUUGGGAAACAACCAUAAACAAAUCAAACAAAGGGUUCAGGGAUUGGGGAAAUUGCCAAAGAGCUGACGUGCUUAGGAAUUAGCCAAUUCUGGGCAUGCACAACAAUACAGAAUGCUGUUAUGCUUAUUGAAUCAACAAGAAUACACAACAUAUGAUGGUGAAAUAGAGUUUAUGAUUCCAGGGGAAUAAAGUUUGAGCCAUAGAUAAUAAUACUCAAUACUGCCAUGUCUCACACAAACCAUUAGCAUCAAACACACAGGGAUAGGGGGUUUGAGAUUCAUAAUAGGAGGAAAUUAUAGCAUGCUAAAGUAGAUAGUGAACUAAACACAAGCUGUAGGCAGACAUGCAAGUAAUGCUAUUAAGUAAACACAUUGUUUGUGAUUGCUGAAAAUCUUAAUCAGGACAUACCAGUUUCAAGGAAGCAAAAUACAGUAAAAGUAGUUGCAGGACUUCAAAAAAAUGCUAAACAGUACAAGUAAUAAAGAGAAUAGUUUCUGAGUGUGAG